ensembl:lncRNA
CUCUGCCACGUCACCCUGCCCAGUGCUUCCACAUCCUUUUAACUCCUGAACAUGUUCAUCAACACGCUAUCAGUCCGAGUGGUAGUCUAAUGUACUCUCUCUCUGUGUGUGUGUGCUUAACUGUGUUGGCACACGUUUGAUUCCACAUAGGAUUAUUUGAUUGACAUUAAGUGAUUUUAAGUAUGACUUGUGUGUGUAUUUAUAGGAUUUUGAAUGGGACUGAAUUGUGUGUCCCCACAAGGUUAAUUAUGCAAGACUGUGUGUAUCUGUAAUUGUGUGACUGUGUGCAUGACCACACAUCCUGUACACACAUACACACACACACACAGCUAUAUAAAUAUAUAUAUUGUAAUUUAUAGGUUUAAGCUUAAUGACAAAAUACCUCUAGAUUGAAACAAAUUCAGUAACUGGUAAGACAGCGGAUCUAGUCAGACAGCGGAUCUAGUCGUUACAGAUCUAUCUAAGAAACAGCUAUAAGCUGGAAGACAACCCUUGCUAUCAGUAGUGGAAGAUGAACUGAAGAUCAGAACGACAGGUUUGCUGUUCCAACACACAGGAUGUAAAGACAACGACAGGUUUGCUGUUCCAACACAGUGCUUUGUUGGAAAGGUAAAAGUAAGGGAUUAAAACAACUCUAAUUAAAUUCAACCAAUGCACUGUGCUGAUAUCUAAUGGUUAGAACACUUGGCAGCAUAAAGCUGGUGAUGAUAAAGGUGGUGAUGAUGACAGGGAUGGAGCAGGACGUGGCCAGUACAUUCCCACCUCUGACACACAGCAGCAGCACACAGUACACGAGCAGAGCAACAGACACUCGCGAUUGGUCAAUCACUCUGGAGUUCCAAUGAUGAUGUAACAAUGUAAAAAACAAUGUAAUGACACGACAUAUUGGCGAAUCAAAGGAGGAAAAGAAAAGAAUCGUUGAGUAACCAAAAAAAUAUCAAGCAGCUUUUGUAAAACCCUAGAGAAUGCAGCAAGUGUCCGUUGCUCUUUAGUUUUGUUGUUGCAGACAGAUGUGACAUUGCCAUGGUGACCAUAAGAAGCCUGUGUAAGACUGGAGUAGUUGCAUACCAUGUCGGAC